rnacentral:rRNA from 1 species
AGCGAACGUUAGCGGCGGGCCUAACACAUGCAAGUCGAACGGGCAGUAGCAAUACUGUCAGUGGCGCACGGGUGAGUAACGCGUAGGUAAUCUACCCUUUGGCGGGGGAUAACGUUCCGAAAGGGACGCUAAUACCGCAUAAGACCACGACCUCUUCGGGGGUUGAGGGAAAAGGUGGCCUCUUCCUGAACGCCAUCACCGGAGGCUGAGCCUGCGUCCCAUCAGCUAGUUGGUAGGGUAAUGGCCUACCAAGGCGAAGACGGGUAGCUGGUCUGAGAGGAUGAUCAGCCACACUGGCACUGGAACACGGGCCAGACUCCUACGGGAGGCAGGAGUGGGGAAUAUUGGGCAAUGGGCGCAAGCCUGACCCAGCCACGCCGCGUGAGCGAUGAAGGCCUUCGGGUUGUAAAGCUCUGUGGGGAGGGGCGAAAGGCAGGAGUGCUAAUAGUACCCUGUUUGACGGUACCUCCUUAGCAAGCACCGGCUAACUCUGUGCCAGCCGCCGCAGUAAAAC